GACGAACGCUGGCGGCGUGCUUAACACAUGCAAGUCGAACGGAAAGGCGCUGCUUUUGUUGGGUGCUCGAGUGGCGAACGGGUGAGUAAAACGUGAGUAACCUGCCCUUGACAUUGGGAUAACUUCAGGAAACUGGGGCUAAUACCGGAUAGGAGCUCCUGCUGCAUGGUGGUGGUUGGAAAGUUUCGGCGGUUGGGGAUGGACUCGCGGCUUAUCAGCUUGUUGGUGGAGUAGUGGCUUACAAAGGCUUUGACGGGUAGCCGGCCUGAGAGGGUGACCGGCCACAUUGGGACUGCGAUAGGGACCAGAAUCCUACGUGAGGCAGUAGUCGAGAAUAUUGCACAGUGGGCGGAAGCCUGAUGCAGAAGCGUCGCGUGCGGGAUGACGUCCUUCGGGUUAUAAACAGCUUUCGCCUGUGAUGAAGCGUGAGUGACGGUAAUGAGUAAAGAAGCACCGGCUAACUACGUG
rnacentral:rRNA from 1 species